rnacentral:rRNA from 1 species
UACGGAGGGAGCUAGCGUUGUUCGGAAUUACUGGGCGUAAAGUGCGCGUAGGCGGCUUUGUAAGUUAGAGGUGAAAGCCCGGAGCUCAACUCCGGAACUGCCUUUAAAACUGCAUCGCUUGAAUCCAGGAGAGGUGAGUGGAAUUCCGAGUGUAGAGGUGAAAUUCGUAGAUAUUCGGAAGAACACCAGUGGCGAAGGCGGCUCACUGGACUGGUAUUGACGCUGAGGUGCGAAAGCGUGGGGAGCAAACAGG